rnacentral:lncRNA from 1 species
GGAAAGUGGUGUGCCCUUACCCCUCCCUUUCCCCCACAAACUCGGAAAAAGUCGCACCUCUCAAGCAUUGUUGAGAAGAUUGGAUUCCCAGAGAGACUCCAACUGUCUGGAAACUAAAAACCGAGACCACCAAGAGGGAAAUUUAAAGGAAAGCAAGAAACCAUGGAGAGAGGGACCGGCAACGGGAAAAAUUGUCCACCACUUUUGAAGGACGUGUGGAAUUUUGCAUAGUUCCCACAACACAUUCUGACUUUUCUCUAUGUACUUCCUAGAACCCAUUUUCCGUGUUCGUAUUUUGAAGAUUUUUGUUUUGUUUGCAUAUUCCUUCCUAGAUGGGUGGACAGAUUCGCCGUUCCUGUAGAACUGGAAACCUCUGUAAGAGCCUGAGUGACAAUCGAUGGAUGCAAUCAGGUGUUGUACACUUUGGUUUCUGAACUGAAUUAUGGCCUCUUAGACUCUGCAUUUACAAAACCGGAACCUUAAAGUGCCAUCUCGGGACUGUCAGCUAUCCUCACCACUGUGCGGUUCCUUCAAGUCUUCAGGGAAAAUCUAGAAUCUCGUAUUAGGGUGUAGUCUGUAGUUCGCCUUGCCUUCCCCAUCCUGCGACCCUUGGCUAAGAAUUUUAGUCCUUCCCUGGGAUCUCACUAGCGUCUUCUCAAACAUGCCUCCAAAUACAUUUUCCCAACCUUAUGGGGCAAGGUUUGGUUUCAAAGAAGUCCACGUUCUGCUCCCCUACCCCAGCCCAGGCAAGGGAGGGGCACGGAUUUCUCUUCCAUGCCUGUCUUUUAGGUUAGUCGCAAAUGCAUGACUAGAGAAUCUGAGAUUGAGAGAGGUCUGGAGUUGUGUUGGCCACAGGAUUCAAAUUGUGAAUAUACCUGUGGUCUUGGCCCUUCGAGAGCCUGGGCUGCUCCUAGAAACGAAGGCCAAGUGGCAACACCUGGGUCAGACAGAGCUCGGCCUCCCCUCCCCCAGCCCUCGCUGGGUGGGAAGAGUUUAAAGCCACAGGUAUUGCGCCCUUUUGAUGCUUCAUAAAAAGACCUUCUUUGAACACCAGGCGUCCUUUUUACUUAUUUAUUUUUUUCUCGGUAAGGAAAGUAAACAUCUUGCUUAUAUUUCCAUAGUGGUCAGGCUCUAAUUAUGCAUGAUUCCAGCAACAUGACUGCCGCAGCCGGAAGGCGCCGGCCUCAGAAGAUGCCUG